rnacentral:misc_RNA from 1 species
CCGAGUUUACAACUCCCAAACCCCUGUGAACAUACCUUACUGUUGCCUCGGCGGAUCAGCCCCGGCGCCUCGUAGGCCCGGAUCAGGCGCCCGCCUAGGAACCCUAAACUCUGUUUUUAGUGGAACUUCUGAGUAUAAAAAACAAAUAAAUCA